UGCGAUCCCUCGUCCUUAUACAGAUUCAUAGUUUCUGAGCAGCAGAUCGCUGUUUACACAGCACAAUCUUCUGCCCAGAAACGAUGAUCAGUGGUGCCUGCACGAACGACAGGAUCACCCGAUGAAAGAGAGUUUUGC